GCGGGCAUAGCUCAGUUGGUAGAGCAUCGGCUUCCCAAGCCGAGGGUCGCGGGUUCGAACCCCACUGCCCGCUCCA
rnacentral:tRNA from 1 species